AAAUAAGAGAAGAAGAAGCUUUAUGGUGCUCAACCUAAAUUGGCAGAAUUAAGGAAGUUUUUAGUUCCCCUGCAAAUACACAGAUAUAUAGAAAGCUGCAUUUUUCAACCACCUUUGGCAAUUUGCCUCCAGUUGUUAACAAAGUGACUUUUCUGGGAAUGUAUCAGCUGUCCGCUGGAUGAUUUACACAGCAAACUGAAAAAAUAUAGAGCGAAGGUGAUUACGAAAUAUGUGCACUACCACAGGAUUUACAGAGUUUGGACAUCAACCAGCACUGAGUCUGGCUAAACUGAUGUUCGGCAGAGGAGGAGCGCAACACUUCCUGUUGCGACGUUGCCUGUAUCCUGUUUUCCACAACAGAGAGAGAAAAAAAACUAACAAGAUGCCGAACCUUUAUUGAAGUCAGGAUUAUCCUAACAUUGUGACAUGUAUAUGGAUUCAUUGUAAGACAUUCAGAGAACCGAAUCCGAAAGAAAGGUUUACAGUUCCUCAUUUUGUUUUUAUGCCUCUGUUGCUAUGCAUUGUAAUCUGCGCAGCUAACACAACAUAUAGAAGACACAUAAUGCAGUUAUAAUUGUACUAUUUUACAUUAAACUUAGAAUAUUUAGUGCAUGUAUAUGUAUAUUUUUGUGAAAGUAUACUAUAAUAAUGAAGCAUUUUCUUCUUUCAGUGACAUAUUUUUUCUCUCUUAUUGUAUGUGUUUAUAAGCACUAUGGAAUAAAAAUACGUGCCGAAAAUGAUCUUGUUGUACUUGUGAUGUAUAUCACACUCAAAAUUCAACCUGUGUGCUUUAUAUCAUGUUGGCAAUUCUCCAAACUAAAGUUUCUCAAUUCAAUGUAGUUUUUAAUCGAGUCACUAGACUUGUUGACAGUUUGGCGCUGCAAAGUGUGUCAGAAGGCAUGAUGACGCACAUCUGUUAAUGGAACACCAGCAGAAGUCUUCCAUGACAAAGUUUGUCGUUAUAUUGACCCUAUCAUUUGAUGCCCUUAUACGGCAUAUACUAAAGCUAUUUGUUAAUUUAUUGUCAUCUUCUUUGCAUACGUAUUUGCUUAUUUUUACAAACAAAACAACAGACUAGAGGUAAACAGGCUCUUCUAAAAAAAGAACAGUCCAAUAGAAGCAGUCCAUUACCGAAUGAUGCUGCAACUGAACUAAUAUACAAAGUAUUUUAGACAUUUAAUCAAUGUCAUUAGUUAUUUCACCAAUGUUCUUUUUUUCAGCUUUGUAUCUUAAACUCAACAUUUUGUUAUGAAUUUUAAUCAUAGAAAAGCCAGAAUUACAAGCAUAAAAAAUAGUUUGGCCACUUUAUCAUAAAGCAGAAUGCCUUGAUGAGGCCAGAAAAAUACAAAUGUAUUGUUUCAUUCAUAGUAAUCAAUUUGGAGAUGAACAGUGCCAUAAUUUUUAUGUAAAAGCUUGAUUCAGUGGAGUGAGUCACCAAGUUUGUGUGGUUUUAAUGAUCAAAUCUAGAAAAAGAAAACUUAUGAGCAGAAGUUUGAUAGGAUAUGCUUACUGUGUGUCCCUUAUGACAUCAAGCAUGAUUAUGGUUUAUCCUGCUCUUUACUGACUUUAGAGAUGGAUUGUACCCGCCGAUUUGUAUGCAAACGAUUAAAAAUUAAAUGGUCCAUAAUAUGUUCCUUUAAAAGUGGUGUCUCCAUACAAAUAAAAGGCUUGUAUCUUAUUUGUACAUUUCGUUCAUAGAUGUUGAAAGUUGUACAAGUGAGCACGUCAACUUCGCUGUAAAAAUCCAUUCAGCUGACUGUUGAGUCAUGUCAACAUGCUGAUGAGAGUGUGAUUAUUGCAGUGGUGUCCCGUUGGACCCGUUAAAAUAAAAGCCGAGCUGGCUUUUGUGUGGGCAGAUCUGAUUUCAGAGAAGUUGUCAGUACCUCUGACAUGCCACCACGCCAUCGCAGGUCUGCUAUACCAUCCAUCCAUCCAUCCAUUUUCUGAGCCGCUUCUCCUCACUAGGGUCGCGGGCGUGCUGGAGCCUAUCCCAGCUGUCAUCGGGCAGGGGGCGGGGUACACCCUGAACUGGUUGCCAGCCAAUCGCAGGGCACAUACAAACAGACAACCAUUCGCACUCACAUACACACCUACGGGCAAUUUAGAGUCUCCAAUGAAUGCAUGUUUUUGGGAUGUGGGAGGAAACCGGAGUGCCCGGAGAAAACCCACGCAGGCACGGGGAGAACAUGCAAACUCCACACAGGCGGGGACGGGGAUUGAACCCCGCACCUCAGAACUGUGAGGCUGACGCUCUAACCAGUCGGCCACCGUGCCGCCUCUGCUAUACCAAACAUUUGAUAUAAUGCUUUUUUUGUAUAGAGUCAGAAACCUUCAUCGGGAGUGAUCUCUUCACAGAUGAAUCCCAGUUCACACAGUACUGGACAGAUGGCAGCCAGCAGGUAUGGUAUUGCAUUGGCAAGGAGCUACUGGAUACACAAUUCCUGGAGAAAAAAUAAAUAAAUCCUUUCCUUGCUUGGACAGCAUAUUUACCCCGCAUUACCUGCUGAGCAUGCUUGCUUAUGCUCACGUAACCAAUUUCUAUUACUUUACAUAGCUGUAAAGUGUGGUCUUUUAUUGUGUCCACUUCACCUGUCUGGCCAGACGGGUACAAUUACGCCAAAUGUAAAUUAGUAUACAUUGAAUGGAAAUGACUGAGAAGGUUUUUUUUUUACAUUUUGGCAAAAUUCCUAUUCAUUCAUAACCAGUCGCACUACUACUUGCUGUGCAAAUUCUCCCAUCGACUUUCUGUCAUUCACACACCUUCAUGCCAGAUACAUGCUCUGAUUGGGGCAACCCUAAAAUGUGGCCAUUCCCUGCUAAAUCUGGCCAUCCGUGCAUUCUCCCGUCGAUUUAAGUACUUUUCCUGUUACGCACUUCAGAGGCUGUACUAAGUCAAGUGCCGCCAAAAGGUGAAACAUCAUAUUUCACUAUCGCUGCAGUUACAAUACCUGUAAAUGCCACACAUACGAAUAGUAUUGUAAAAGAGAAUUCCAGAAAGAUAUCAAAUGUAUGCUAAGAGAAUGAUUACAAUAUAUUUUAUUGUGUUUAUAAAAGAGGCGCUGCAAGGCAGCUAUUCAAGCGCUUCAGCUGUGACAUUUAUUGGUGGAGAAUAUUUAUGCUAGCUGACUUUUUUUCACAGCUUGUUUAUGAUGCCCACCAACAACUGCAAGGAGCGAUUCUGCUUCAAAUAAGUUCCCUGCCAGCGUUAAAAUACAAACCUUUAUACUUUUUUAAAAGAAAAAAAAAGAUGGGAGCGGCUCAUAGAAAAGAAACAUACACAGGGCUCCCACUAAUUACAACAAUACAAUUCUGUGUAUUGGCAAAAUAGUGAGUUUUAUAUAUAUAUAUAAAAUAAUUUGUUUGCACUCAAUAAUAGUUUUAAAUAUAUUAUGCAGUAAGAAAUAACACAUUCAGCUUAUUGAUUUGUAACA